rnacentral:rRNA from 1 species
CAGUAGCCGCGGUAAUACGAAGGGGGCUAGCGUUGCUCGGAAUCACUGGGCGUAAAGGGUGCGUAGGCGGGUUUUUAAGUCAGAGGUGAAAUCCUGGAGCUCAACUCCAGAACUGCCUUUGAUACUGAAAGUCUUGAGUAUGGGAGAGGUGAGUGGAACUGCGAGUGUAGAGGUGAAAUUCGUAGAUAUUCGCAAGAACACCAGUGGCGAAGGCGGCUCACUGGCCCGGUACUGACGCUGAGGCGCGAAAGCGUGGGGAGCAAACAGGAUUAGAUACCCCGUAGUCCCUGUCUCUUAUACA